AGAGUUUGAUCCUGGCUCAGGACGAACGCUGGCGGCGUGCCUAACACAUGCAAGUCGAGCGGAGACAGUGAGUAGCUUGCUAUGAGCUGUUUUAGCGGCGGACGGGUGAGUAACGCGUGAGCAACCUUUCCCAGACAGGGGAAUAACACACCGAAAGGUGUACUAAUACCGUAUAAGACCACGGGAUCACAUGGUUCUGGGGUAAAAGAUUUAUCGGUUUGGGGUGGGCUCGCGUCCGAUUAGGUAGUUGGUGAGGUAACGGCCCACCG
rnacentral:rRNA from 1 species